UAGAUGAAAUGUCUCCAUCAUGGUCAUCGUGAAGGUUCCCUAAGUUCACGUGACGGAAUGAAGUUAGCAAUUUUUUCCGUGCAGAAGUCAGAUCAGCUACACUUUGAUCAUCCAACAGCUCAACCAGCACAAUGCACCACAAAAAAUCUCCCUGCUCAUGACCUAAACGUAAUUCGAAUGAAUUUGGGAAAUUUUGGGAAAGAUUUAAUAGGAAUGUGAGGGGCUUUUUAUUUACACAUAGAGUGGUGGGUAUAUGGAACAGGUGCCAAAGGCGGUAGUUGAGGCAAAUACUACAACCACAUUUGCACAGGUAUAUGGAUAGAAAAGGUUUAGAGGGACAUGGGUCACAUGUGGGCAGUUGGGAUUAGGGUAGAUGGGUCACCUUGGUGGGCAAAUUGGAUCAAACGGCCUGAGUCCAUGCUGUAUGACUCUGACGAACAGAACACAACUGUGUGAUUCUGGACUGUGCUAUCUCCAACUAAUUCAUUCACAACAACUCAGCAUCGUUGGCUUGGCUAGCAUGUAUUGCUCAUCUAUAGCUACCCUCAAACUGGCUGACAUGGUCAGGGAUCCCAUAAUGGGCAAGUGGAAACAUUUACUUAACAAGGCCCUUUACUUAACAAGGCCCUGUUCCGAACUCAGAGAAACGAUCAUGGUGUUAUCUUCGGUCACUUUUUCAGGCCAAGUAUUGCCUGAGGACAUUUGUCUAUAACUCUUUGUGGCAGCCUUGUUACAGA